AUAUAAAUAAUUUAUGGGAUAAACUAUAAAUUAAUUAUAUAAUAAUUUUAAAUUUAAUUAAUAAUUAAAAAAAAUUGAUUUUAAAAUUUAAAAUAUUUAAUGAGUAUUUAAUAAUUUAUUAUUAAAUAAAUUAUAAAAUUAUAUAAAAAUUAAAAAAAAAAUAAUUUUAUUAAAAUUAAUUAUAUUAAAAUGAUUAAAUUAGUAAUUUAAUAUGUAUAAAUUAUUUUAAAUAUAAAUAUAUUUUUAAGGAACUAAGCAAAUAUUUAUAUUCACCUGUUUAACAAAAACAUGUCUUUUUGAUUUUAAUAUAAAGUCAGUUCUGCUCAAUGAGUAAUUAAAUAGCUGCAGUAUAUUGACUGUACAAAGGUAGCAUAAUCAUUUGUCUUUUAAUUGAAGGCUAGAAUGAAUGAAUUAAUGAAAUAUAAACUGUCUCAAUUUUAUAAAUUAAAUUUAAAUUUUAAGUUAAAAUGCUUAAUUUAAUUUAAGGGACGAUAAGACCCUAUAUAAUUUUAUAUAUAUUAAUAAUUUAUAAAAUUAUUAAUAUAUAUUUAGUUGGGAAGAUUUUUAAAUUUAAUUAACUUUAAUAUAAUAAAAUAUUGAUUAAUAAAAAUAAAUGAUAUAUCUUUAAUAAUAGUUAGAAUAAAUUACCUUAGGGAUAACAGCGUAAUAUUUUUGGAAAGAUCAAAUUGAAAAAAAUGUUUGCGACCUCGAUGUUGAAUUAAAAUAAAUUAUAAAUGCAGGAGUUUAUAGAUUUAGUCUGUUCGACUAUUAAAAUUUUACAUGAUUUGAGUUCAGAUCGACGUAAGUCAGAUUGGAUUCUAUCUUUAAAAAAAAUUAAAAUUUUUGUACGAAAGGACUAAAUUUUAAAAAUAAUUUUUUAAAAUAAUUAAUAA
rnacentral:rRNA from 1 species